rnacentral:rRNA from 1 species
UUGGACGGCCAUAGCGGCUUGGUUCUACCCGAUCCCAUUCCGAACUCGGAAGUCAAGCAGGCCCACGUUUGGUGUUGUACUGAUCUUUGAUCGGGAAGCAUUGAAAGCCGUCCUCU